UACGUAGGGUGCGAGCGUUGUCCGGAAUUAUUGGGCGUAAAGGGCUCGUAGGCGGUUUGUCACGUCGGGAGUGAAAACUCGGGGCUUAACCCCGAGCCUGCUUCCGAUACGGGCUGACUAGAGGUAUGCAGGGGAGAACGGAAUUCCUGGUGUAGCGGUGAAAUGCGCAGAUAUCAGGAGGAACACCGGUGGCGAAGGCGGUUCUCUGGGCCUGUACUGACGCUGAGGAGCGAAAGCGUGGGGAGCGAACAGG
rnacentral:rRNA from 1 species